rnacentral:lncRNA from 1 species
AACACAUUCAAAUAUCUUUCUAACAAUUCACAAGGCACAGGUCCUUCUGCAUCACUGUAGGAUGAACCCAAUUUUAUCUGGAAGAUAGUUAUUUGAUUCUAGAUUAUCUUAUCCUGUGACUGUCAUUCUCCCAGUGGUCAACGUAGCUUAUGGGACCAUGCCAUCCUUUUACUAGGCAAAUAUGCUAUCUUACAUGGCUGAUCCUGAAACUGAAUGAAAACCUGUCAUUAUCUGAGGGAUUGUUUUUGAAAAGCCUCCAUUUGUAUACAUUUGCUCAAACAUAGCAAGUAUUGUACAGUUUUUUCAUUGUAUCAAAUAAUUUUUUUAAAAAAAAACAAACAAAACUACAAAUAAAGUCUCUUAAGACUAUGACUUGGUAGAGCCAAGUGUUUAUUAAGAUGGAGCAGAGUAAAAAGUUGUGAGAAGUGGAGGGCAUUCAUGAGGAAAACCCAGAAUUUGCGAGCCCAAGCUCAGACCUUGCAGUGGUAUCUGGCACCUGUGUAGCUCAUGCCUGCCCACAGGGCAUCAGCAGAGCUGCACCUCGAGUUCUUUCCCGGGACAUUACCUUUGUUCGUCAGCAUGUGUUGAGACUUACAUGUCUGAAAGCUUCCCAGGCUCCUGUUUCUCUAACAUUACAUUUUAUUACAUCCCUGUAUUUCACUGAUCCUCUUGAGGGUUGGGAGGUAAGGACAAAUCCCUGCGUUUGCUUGUUUUACAGUUUGGAAGCAAAGGCAAGUGUACACAGACCCAGGUUUCUAAAGGGACAGAUUCCAGACAGUGCUUUCUGGCUGAUUCCUAAAGGCGGGUGAUUGCCUUAUAUCCGACUUAAGUUGUGCUGUUGAAUCUGUUCGCUUUGAAUGAAAUCAAUUUUGAGUUGCUUGCUGAGGAGUGGGCUCAUGAAACAAUAUUCAUCUUUCCCUGGGUCUUAAAUACAAAUGAAGGUAGCUGGUUGUGAUACACAUACUGUUCUGUGUCUGUACUGUGACUGUUAAAAUAACCAUAAUGCCAAUAAAAGGAACACACAGCACAGACAAGCAGCCUCUGCCUUCUGUGCUUACCUAUAAG